GGUGGAUGUUCUGUAGGAAAGCAGAGUUACAGAUCAGCAAAGAAAGUCUGAUGAUUCAACAUGUAGUCGGUUGCUCUCACGUUCACACCAAAGGUACCGAACUUAUAUGGAAGACCCUAAGUGGUAAGACCCAUGCCUACUGGAAAUGGAAUCUUCUGCUUCUGGGAACUUCUCUGCUCCACAAACAGGUCUGAUUUGUAUUUAUAAAAAAUACAUUAAUUGCUCUAAGCUGGACUCCAACAGACUUUGAUUUCCUCAAGUCUGUUUAAGGAUCCUUACAAAGGGAGAAAAAAUGGCGUAAAGCUAGGAAUUAAUGGCAGUUCUAAGGAGUAAAACUGAAAAUCUAAACUGAAAAUUAGAGGGGUGAGAUUUAUGCACACAACAGGCUUCAGCUCACAGUGUGUCUUUGGUGAGGAGAAAGAAACUAAAGGGGAUUCUGAGCCUGUCAGCAGUUUUCCUUUUUGACGUUUCAGAGCAUUACUUUACAACCUCUUUGUGUUAAAACAUCAACUUUUGAAAAUUAACCUUCACUGUAAAUAUUGUUAAAGUAAGAUAAUCCAAGAAUGAAAUGAAAAUACAUUUAAAAAAAUUGUUAGAUAGCAGCUGGCAAGAAAGUUCUUUAAAAAUGUUAUUUCAUCAAGUACAACCCACUGUAAAAUCCAUACACAUUUUAUGUACUCCCUUUUUAAAACAACAACUGUCUUUAUAGUAAACUGUGAGGUACAUUGUGCACCCGGCACAGAUUCAAAUUGAAAAGACAAGGUGACAGUUAGUUGAUUCUUUAAUAUCUCUGUUU
rnacentral:lncRNA from 1 species